rnacentral:rRNA from 1 species
UACAGAGGUCUCAAGCGUUGUUCGGAUUCAUUGGGCGUAAAGGGUGCGUAGGUGGCGCGUUAAGUCGGGUGUGAAAUUUCGGAGCUUAACUCCGAAACUGCAUUCGAUACUGCCGUGCUUGAGGACUGGAGAGGAGACUGGAAUUUACGGUGUAGCAGUGAAAUGCGUAGAGAUCGUAAGGAAGACCAGUGGCGAAGGCGGGUCUCUGGACAGUUCCUGACACUGAGGCACGAAGGCCAGGGGAGCAAACGGG